rnacentral:lncRNA from 10 species
GUGUCUCUUUGUCUUGGCAGGUGGAAGCCCCUCUGCUUGGAAUAGCAAACAAUACUACCAGCUUGCCCUCUGGCAAGCUCCUUUAAGAGUUAGCUGUAAUUUCACCCUCUCUCUGGCCUUGAUUCUGCAUGCAGAAUGAUUGCACUGACUUGAGCUCCUGUGGUCUCUUGCUAUACCUCCUAUUUGGGCAUCUCCCCCAUAUUGCUUUCCCCCACCAUUGGGGAGGGGAAUGGUACCUUGGUUAUCUUUGAAUUCCCAGGAGGUGGCCCAGUGCCUGGUGCAUAGGAGGAGCUGAAGAAACGGAAGACUUCUUAAAGGGAUACUCGCCAUUCACUUUGAAGCACUUCUUUGUACAACAAAUUUAUUUUCAUCUGAUCAUUGCACCUCUGCUAGCCAAAACAUUUUAUCACACCAGUUACUGCUGCAUGGAACUUGAAAGCAAUAAAAUUAUCUUUAAAA